rnacentral:rRNA from 1 species
AACAACGGAUCUCUUGGCUCUCGCAUCGAUGAAGAACGCAGCGAAAUGCGAUAAGUAAUGUGAAUUGCAGAAUUCAGUGAAUCAUCGAAUCUUUGAACGCACCUUGCGCUCCUUGGUAUUCCGAGGAGCAUGCCUGUUUGAGUGUCAUG